CAGGAAAUUGGGUCGCUGAUGAACAAGAUUGAGCUUCAACUUAUACUCGGCCCAUUAAAUAAUGAAUCCAAUGACGAUCCAUUUGUCUGUCUUCAAUUUUCUUUAACCUGCUCCUACUCUUAGUUAGUUUUCAUGUUUUUUUCUCGAGAAAACGUUAUUUUAGGCCAAAAAUAAAAUUGGAGUUGGACAUCCAAGAGUCUACAAUUUGAAAGAAACAAAAAAAGUGUAGCAAUCGUCUCU
rnacentral:lncRNA from 1 species